UUCUUGUCUAAAGGAAAUUCAGGACAAAGUGGAGCAGAGACUGAACAAAAGUCCAUCUAGAGUCCAGCCCAACUUGGGAUCCAUCUGAUGCACAGGAACCAAUCCCAGACACUAUUACUGAUGCCAAGUUGUGCUUGAAGAAAGGAACCUAGUAUGGUCCUCUGACCGGCUCAUCCAGCACCUGACUGAGACAGAUGCAGAUACAGCAAAUGAUUGGACUGAGAUCAGAACCCGUAUGGAGGAGUGAAGGGAAGGACUGAAGGAGCUGAAGGGGAUUACAGCCCCACAGGAGGAUCAAUAGUAUCAACUAAUCAGUACCUCUUUGAGCUCCCAGAGACUGGGCUACCAACCAAAAAUCAUACAGCUGGUUCAUGCCUUCCACUAGAUAUGUAGCAGAGGAUUGCCUUGUCUGGCCUUAGUGAUCCUUUAGAAUUGUGAUGUGAUGCCUGGGGAAGGGGAUGCUAACAGGGUGAGGUCUGACAGGGUGGGUGGGUGGUGGAGCACUCUCUUAGAAGCAUAGGGGUGAGGGAAUG
rnacentral:lncRNA from 1 species